CCUACGGGAGGCUGCAGUGGGGAAUAUUGCACAAUGGGGGAAACCCUGAUGCAGCGACGCCGCGUGAGUGAAGAAGUAUUUCGGUAUGUAAAGCUCUAUCAGCAGGGAAGAAGCAAGACGGUACCUGACUAAGAAGCCCCGGCUAACUACGUGCCAGCAGCCGCAGUAAUACGUAGGGGGCAAGCGUUAUCCGGAUUUACUGGGUGUAGAGGGAGCGUAGACGGUAUGGCAAGUCUGAAGUGAAAGCCCAGGGCUUAACCCUGGGACUGCUUUGGAAACUGUUAGACUAGAGUGCUGGAGAGGUAAGUGGAAUUCCUGGUGUAGCGGUGAAAUGCGUAGAUAUUAGGAGGAACACCAGUGGCGAAGGCGGCUUACUGGACAGUAACUGACGUUGAGGCUCGAAAGCGUGGGGAGCAAACAGGAUUAGAUACCCCUGUAGUC
rnacentral:rRNA from 1 species